AGCGUACUGAUCAUGGCACGUACGUAGUUGCCAUUGUGAAAAAAAUACUCAGUUGUCUUGAAUGGAUUCGUCACUUAGACGACGUCGUUCACCACGACAUCAAGCCCAGCAACAUGUCCAUCUCCACAUCUGACAAUUUUCAAAUUCGGUUUGGAAAUUUCGGCUUAGUCUUUCCCCCUCGGAGAGAAGGACAUCAUUCGGCGCUUGGGACAUCAUACUACAUUACACCUGAACAAUGGAAAGGCAUUUGUGACCAAGAGAGUGCCCUUCACAGUCUCGAAAAAGUUUUGUUAGAAUUUAUGGUUCCUAUGCAAACCCCCAUGGAACGCAGCAAAAUGAUAGCUGCAAUAAAAAAGGGUCAGACACCUACGGCGCUGUAUUCAACUUCUCCACAGAGGUGCAAGAAAUAUCAAAGAAACAUCCCUCGACGGCUGUGCUGAUGAAAUUUCAAUUCGAAGUACAACAUUACAUGGUAGCAAGAUUGAAGGAGGAAUGUGCUAAGAAAGAUGAUUUGAACGAUAAAAAACUAAAGAAAGACGAAAAAAUCCAGAAUGAAAAAGCAUCAUUGAAAGAGGAAAUUGUUAAGCUAGACGAUUUACACAAACUCUAGGAUGAAAAAGCAUCAUUGGUAGCGACCAUUGAGAAACUAAAAAUUUCAUUAGACUCUAUAUAAUGUAAUGUGCAAAAUAUCUUUUGAUUACAAUCAAGCAAUCUUGGGUGCCACAAAUUCAAGAGUUUAUUUGAGAAUCACGAUAAAAUGAAUUUUUCAAACGAUCAAAGACCGUCGGACAAAAUUUUUCUUCACAUUUCAUAAAUAUUACAGUGACACUUAACACUUAUUAUUACUAACACCAAAAUGAAAUCGUGGCUACUUGCUUAUUCUUGAUAGAAGUCCAUUUUUCGAUGAACUUGCGAAGAAAGUGUCGACUCGGCAAUUUAUAGGCUAAACAUGAUCCAAUAUUACGCAGUAGUGAUAUAAAUGAUAAAAUAUGUAUUAUAAUUACAAUGAGGCCUACGUGAUGAAGACGGUUUGAACUCUCGUCGACUGUAAUAUUUAUAAUAAAGUAAUUUAUUUUUAUAAAUACGUAA